rnacentral:rRNA from 1 species
UCUGUGGCCAUACCACCUUGAAUGUGCCUGAUCUCAGAAGGUAAGCAGGGCCUGGUUAGUACUUGGAUGAUGGGAGAAAAUUCUUUAAGAA